GGGUUGUGAGGUUAAGCGACUAAGCGUACACGGUGGAUGCCCUGGCAGUCAGAGGCGAUGAAGGACGUGCUAAUCUGCGAUAAGCGUCGGUAAGGUGAUAUGAACCGUUAUAACCGGCGAUUUCCGAAUGGGGAAACCCAGUGUGUUUCGACACACUAUCAUUAACUGAAUCCAUAGGUUAAUGAGGCGAACCGGGGGAACUGAAACAUCUAAGUACCCCGAGGAAAAGAAAUCAACCGAGAUUCCCCCAGUAGCGGCGAGCGAACGGGGAGGAGCCCAGAGCCUGAAUCAGUGUGUGUGUUAGUGGAAGCGUCUGGAAAGGCGCGCGAUACAGGGUGACAGCCCCGUACACAAAAAUGCACAUAUUGUGAGCUCGAUGAGUAGGGCGGGACACGUGGUAUCCUGUCUGAAUAUGGGGGGACCAUCCUCCAAGGCUAAAUACUCCUGACUGACCGAUAGUGAACCAGUACCGUGAGGGAAAGGCGAAAAGAACCCCGGCGAGGGGAGUGAAAAAGAACCUGAAACCGUGUACGUACAAGCAGUGGGAGCACGCUUCGGCGUGUGACUGCGUACCUUUUGUAUAAUGGGUCAGCGACUUAUAUUCUGUAGCAAGGUUAACCGAAUAGGGGAGCCGAAGGGAAACCGAGUCUUAACUGGGCGUUAAGUUGCAGGGUAUAGACCCGAAACCCGGUGAUCUAGCCAUGGGCAGGUUGAAGGUUGGGUAACACUAACUGGAGGACCGAACCGACUAAUGUUGAAAAAUUAGCGGAUGACUUGUGGCUGGGGGUGAAAGGCCAAUCAAACCGGGAGAUAGCUGGUUCUCCCCGAAAGCUAUUUAGGUAGCGCCUCGUGAAUUCAUCUCCGGGGGUAGAGCACUGUUUCGGCAAGGGGGUCAUCCCGACUUACCAACCCGAUGCAAACUGCGAAUACCGGAGAAUGUUAUCACGGGAGACACACGGCGGGUGCUAACGUCCGUCGUGAAGAGGGAAACAACCCAGACCGCCAGCUAAGGUCCCAAAGUCAUGGUUAAGUGGGAAACGAUGUGGGAAGGCCCAGACAGCCAGGAUGUUGGCUUAGAAGCAGCCAUCAUUUAAAGAAAGCGUAAUAGCUCACUGGUCGAGUCGGCCUGCGCGGAAGAUGUAACGGGGCUAAACCAUGCACCGAAGCUGCGGCAGCGACACUAUGUGUUGUUGGGUAGGGGAGCGUUCUGUAAGCCUGUGAAGGUGUACUGUGAGGUAUGCUGGAGGUAUCAGAAGUGCGAAUGCUGACAUAAGUAACGAUAAAGCGGGUGAAAAGCCCGCUCGCCGGAAGACCAAGGGUUCCUGUCCAACGUUAAUCGGGGCAGGGUGAGUCGACCCCUAAGGCGAGGCCGAAAGGCGUAGUCGAUGGGAAACAGGUUAAUAUUCCUGUACUUGGUGUUACUGCGAAGGGGGGACGGAGAAGGCUAUGUUGGCCGGGCGACGGUUGUCCCGGUUUAAGCGUGUAGGCUGGUUUUCCAGGCAAAUCCGGAAAAUCAAGGCUGAGGCGUGAUGACGAGGCACUACGGUGCUGAAGCAACAAAUGCCCUGCUUCCAGGAAAAGCCUCUAAGCAUCAGGUAACAUCAAAUCGUACCCCAAACCGACACAGGUGGUCAGGUAGAGAAUACCAAGGCGCUUGAGAGAACUCGGGUGAAGGAACUAGGCAAAAUGGUGCCGUAACUUCGGGAGAAGGCACGCUGAUAUGUAGGUGAAGUCCCUCGCGGAUGGAGCUGAAAUCAGUCGAAGAUACCAGCUGGCUGCAACUGUUUAUUAAAAACACAGCACUGUGCAAACACGAAAGUGGACGUAUACGGUGUGACGCCUGCCCGGUGCCGGAAGGUUAAUUGAUGGGGUCAGCGCAAGCGAAGCUCUUGAUCGAAGCCCCGGUAAACGGCGGCCGUAACUAUAACGGUCCUAAGGUAGCGAAAUUCCUUGUCGGGUAAGUUCCGACCUGCACGAAUGGCGUAAUGAUGGCCAGGCUGUCUCCACCCGAGACUCAGUGAAAUUGAACUCGCUGUGAAGAUGCAGUGUACCCGCGGCAAGACGGAAAGACCCCGUGAACCUUUACUAUAGCUUGACACUGAACAUUGAGCCUUGAUGUGUAGGAUAGGUGGGAGGCUUUGAAGUGUGGACGCCAGUCUGCAUGGAGCCGACCUUGAAAUACCACCCUUUAAUGUUUGAUGUUCUAACGUUGACCCGUGAUCCGGGUUGCGGACAGUGUCUGGUGGGUAGUUUGACUGGGGCGGUCUCCUCCUAAAGAGUAACGGAGGAGCACGAAGGUUGGCUAAUCCUGGUCGGACAUCAGGAGGUUAGUGCAAUGGCAUAAGCCAGCUUGACUGCGAGCGUGACGGCGCGAGCAGGUGCGAAAGCAGGUCAUAGUGAUCCGGUGGUUCUGAAUGGAAGGGCCAUCGCUCAACGGAUAAAAGGUACUCCGGGGAUAACAGGCUGAUACCGCCCAAGAGUUCAUAUCGACGGCGGUGUUUGGCACCUCGAUGUCGGCUCAUCACAUCCUGGGGCUGAAGUAGGUCCCAAGGGUAUGGCUGUUCGCCAUUUAAAGUGGUACGCGAGCUGGGUUUAGAACGUCGUGAGACAGUUCGGUCCCUAUCUGCCGUGGGCGCUGGAGAACUGAGGGGGGCUGCUCCUAGUACGAGAGGACCGGAGUGGACGCAUCACUGGUGUUCGGGUUGUCAUGCCAAUGGCACUGCCCGGUAGCUAAAUGCGGAAGAGAUAAGUGCUGAAAGCAUCUAAGCACGAAACUUGCCCCGAGAUGAGUUCUCCCUGACCCUUUAAGGGUCCUGAAGGAACGUUGAAGACGACGACGUUGAUAGGCCGGGUGUGUAAGCGCAGCGAUGCGUUGAGCUAACCGGUACUAAUGAACCGUGAGGCUUAACCUUACAACGCCGAAG
rnacentral:rRNA from 1 species